rnacentral:rRNA from 1 species
CAAUAGCGUAUAUUAAAGUUGUUGCGGUUAAAAAGCUCGUAGUUGGAUUUCUGUUGAGAGCAGCCGGUCCACCUUUUGGGUGAGUAUCUGGAUUGGUCUCGGCAUCCUCACAACGAAUGUUUCUGCGCUUGAUUGCGUGGUAUAGGCGUUGUGACUUUUACUUUGAGGAAAUUAGAGUGUUCACGGCAGGCAUACGCCUUGAAUAUAUUAGCAUGGAAUAAUAUUAUAGGAUUUCGGUUCUAUUUUGUUGGUUUUCGGAAAUCGACUUAAUGAUUAAUAGGGACAGUCGGGGGCAUUUGUAUUCAAACGACAGAGGUGAAAUUCUUGGACCGUUUGAAGACAAACUACUGCGAAAGCAUUUGCCAAGAAUGUUUUCAUUAAUCAAGAACGAAAGUUAAAGGUUCGAAGACGAUCAGAU